rnacentral:rRNA from 3 species
GCAUAUCAAUAAGCGGAGGAAAAGAAACCAACCGGGAUUGCCUCAGUAACGGCGAGUGAAGCGGCAAGAGCUCAAAUUUGAAAGCUGGCUCCUUCGGGGUCCGCAUUGUAAUUUGCAGAGGAUGCUUCGGGUGCGGCCCCUGUCUAAGUGCCCUGGAACGGGCCGUCAGAGAGGGUGAGAAUCCCGUCUGGGAUGGGGUGUCCGCGCCCGUGUGAAGCUCCUUCGACGAGUCGAGUUGUUUGGGAAUGCAGCUCUAAAUGGGUGGUAAAUUUCAUCUAAAGCUAAAUACUGGCCGGAGACCGAUAGCGCACAAGUAGAGUGAUCGAAAGAUGAAAAGCACUUUGAAAAGAGAGUUAAAAAGCACGUGAAAUUGUUGAAAGGGAAGCGCUUGCGACCAGACUCGCCUCCAGGGUUCAGCCGGCAUUCGUGCCGGUGUACUUCCCUGGGGGCGGGCCAGCGUCGGUUUGGGCGGCCGGUCAAAGGCUCCCGGAAUGUAGUGCCCUCCGGGGCACCUUAUAGCCGGGAGUGCAAUGCGGCCAGCCUGGACCGAGGAACGCGCUUCGGCACGGACGCUGGCAUAAUGGUCGUAAACGACCCGUCUUGAAACACGGACC